UAACAUGUUGUCACAGAGCAGCAGAAAAGAAUACCCAGUAGAUGUCAAAAGCAACAAAGAGUCCUGUGGCACCUUGGAGCAUAAGCUUUCAUGGGUGAAUGCCCACUUCGUCAGACUCAGUAGAUGUCAGUAACUGUGACCGGUAGCAAAUUGUGGUGGUAACAGUUUGUAAAGUUACGCUGUCCUCCAUCUGAGCAACAACUCCCUGGAGACAACAGCUAAUGAGCCCCUUCCCCGCACACUCACUUCUCUCCACCCCAUCAAGCAGGACCCAGCAGGGGCAGAGUCAGCAAUGCCUCCUCUCUGCCCUUUAACCGUAGAAACCUGCAGAGCGAGUCCCACCCCCAGCCCAUGACACUGAGAUCCAUGCCCCCUCACUCAGGUUAAACUGUCCCAAGCCGCUGAGCCGCUCGCUGGGGAUUUGAGUGUGAAUGAUCAGCUCAGCCUGGCUGAUUCAUCCCUGCCCCUGGCGGGGCUGUGUCAGGAGUGAAUUUUCACAUCCCCCCUCCCAGCUGGGACUGCCUGCAAACUGUGUGUGUUGCAGGUCCCAUGGGCCAGAUCCUCCCCUCUGAUUCCCACCAGCUGGGAUCUGGCCGCGCGGGUUCCACUGGAGUUAUGGCCAAUUUACACCAGCUGGGGAUGUGGCUUGGGUUACGUCUACACUGAGAUAAAAAACCCCAUGGCAUUGAGUCAGAGCCUGGGUUAGAUCACUCAGGCCUGGGCUGCGGGGCUAAAAUGAACUGUGUAGACAUUUGGUUUUGGGCUGGAGCCUGAGAUCUGAGACCCUCCCCCAUGGGGCUCCAGCCCCAGCCCGAAUGUCUGCACUGCAAUUUUAUAGACCCACAACCUGAGCCCUGUGUGGCCCCGCCAGCUGAGCCAGGCCUGGCCAUGUCAGGGGUCUUUCAUUGCAGUGUGGAGGUACCUUGAAUCGUUUGUACAAACAUACACUGCGUCUCUUAGCAAGUUUGUCAGACCUGGUUUGGGGCGACUUCAUUGUCAGCCAGGGCCACGCAAAGUGGAAUAAAAACCAACCCAGAAAGGUAAACGGCCCCGCUGGCAUAAUGAGGUCUGGGGUCACUCGCACAAUAUUACGUAUAACUCUAUUAUGCUCCCUUUCUUCCCGCACCUCAGCUUCACUCUCUGGUGAAAGUCAGGCCAGAGCUCUUUUCACAAGGCAGGACACAGAGUUCAACUUCAGGGCUGUUGUAUGUAUGUAAAACCCUGUUAAGUAAGUGGUAAUAUUGCCCAGUCGGCUUGGAAGAGAGUCCCACAGAGUGCCCUGGGAAAAAUAGACAUCUCAGGCACACAGAAAUUAUUAUAAAUAGGACAACCCAUUGUAGAUAGGAUUUGGAAUACUGUGAAUAUCAUUUAAAGAAAAGCUGUUGGGCAGUAAAUCUACAGGCGCGCCGUAUAAAGACGUCCCCAUUUUGUUGCUAUUACAGAUAUUCAAAUAUAAGGUUCCCACAUGAUAUCGACCUUCCUGAUCUUGAGCACGCACAUUAAAACACUGUCCCCUCUGAUCAUCUCGCAGAGAUGGUUUCUCGGUCAUUGUAGUGUGGCCAUUGUAUGUGCUGUGUGUGUCUCAUUGAGUCAUAGACUUUAAGGUCAGAAGGGACCAUCAUGAUCAUCUAGUCUGACCUCCCACACAUUGGGUCUCUGGACUCAAGUCCCCUGGACCCUUCACAGCUUGAGAAGAACGGCAGCAUCUCAACCCUUUCAAAAUGCUUCUGAACCCCUUGACACUCUGGGGAUCU
rnacentral:lncRNA from 1 species